GAAGCCCCCCUCAAGAUGAGAUUUCCCAUAGCGUAAGCUAGUAAGAUCCCUGAAAGAUGAUCAGGUUGAUAGGUUCGAGGUGGAAGCAUGGUGACAUGUGGAGCUGACGAAUACUAAUAGAUCGAGGACUUAACCAUAUAA
rnacentral:rRNA from 1 species